rnacentral:rRNA from 1 species
GUUAGGAAUAUUGGACAAUGGGCGCAAGCCUGAUCCAGCCAUGCCGCGUGAACGAUGAAGGCCUUCGGGUUGUAAAGUUCUUUAGCCGAUGAUUAUAAUGACUGUAGUCGGAAAAUAAGCCCCGGCUAACUUCGUGCCAGCAGCCGCGGUAAUACGAAGGGGGCGAGCGUUAUUCGGAAUCACUGGGCGUAAAGCGUGCGUAGGCGGUCUCGUAAGUUAGGAGUGAAAGCCCAGGGCUCAACCUUGGAAUUGCUCUUAAAACUGCAAGGCUAGAAUCUCGGAGAGGAUAGCGGAAUUUCCAGUGUAGCAGUGAAAUGCGUAGAUAUUGGAAGGAACACCAGUGGCGUAAGCGGCUAUCUGGACGAGUAUUGACGCUGAGGCACGAAAGCGUGGGGAUCAAACAGGAUUAGAAACCCGAGUAGUCC